GGGCAAGUAGCUCAGUUGGUUAGAGCGCAGCGUUGACAUCGCUGAGGUCGUAGGUUCGAUCCCUAUCUUGCCCA
rnacentral:tRNA from 1 species